CCUACGGGAGGCAGCAGUAGGGAAUCUUCCACAAUGGGCGAAAGCCUGAUGGAGCAACGCCGCGUGAGUGAUGAAGGCCUUCGGGUUGUAAAACUCUGUCAUUCGGGACGAACCGGAGUCUGAGGAAAUGCAGACUCUCUGACGGUACCGGAGGAGGAAGCCCCGGCUAACUACGUGCCAGCAGCCGCGGUAAUACGUAGGGGGCAAGCGUUGUCCGGAUUCACUGGGCGUAAAGCGCGCGCAGGCGGUGAUGUAAGUCUGAGGUGAAAACCCGAAGCUCAACUUCGGGACUGCCUUGGAUACUGCGUCACUUGAGGAUAGGAGAGGCAAGGGGAAUUCCACGUGUAGCGGUGAAAUGCGUAGAGAUGUGGAGGAACACCUGUGGCGAAGGCGCCUUGCUGGCCUAUUUCUGACGCUGAGGCGCGAAAGCGUGGGGAGCAAACAGGAUUAGAUACCCUGGUAGUCCACGCUGUAAACGAUGAGUGCUAGGUGUAGGUGGGCUCAUACCCAUCUGUGCCGAAGCUAACGCAUUAAGCACNCCGCCGUCGGGAGGUACGGUCGCGAGACGUAGAACGUACGAAGUAGAAGUUAGUUACGGCGUUGGAGGACGUUGGCCGACGGACGACGACGAGGGGAGGAGG
rnacentral:rRNA from 1 species